UCUUCAUUUACCACACUCUCUCACCGGUCAGAGUGGCGAGAGAGUGUCCGAAAUGAGGAGA
rnacentral:pre_miRNA from 1 species